CUUCCGUAGGUGAACCUGCGGAAGGAUCAUUAAUGAAUUCACUAUGGAGUUGUUGCUGGCCUCUAGGGGCAUGUGCACGCUUCACUAGUCUUUCAACCACCUGUGAACUUUUGAUAGAUCUGUGAAGUCGUCCUUCAAGUCGUCAGACUUGGUUUGCUGGGAUUUAAACGUCUCGGUGUGACAACGCAGUCUAUUUACUUAACACACCCCAAAUGUAUGUCUACGAAUGUCAUUUAAUGGGCCUUGUGCCUAUAAACCAUAAUACAACUUUCAACAACGGAUCUCUUGGCUCUCGCAUCGAUGAAGAACGCAGCGAAAUGCGAUAAGUAAUGUGAAUUGCAGAAUUCAGUGAAUCAUCGAAUCUUUGAACGCACCUUGCGCCCCUUGGUAUUCCGAGGGGCAUGCCUGUUUGAGUGUCAUUAAAUUCUCAAACUCACAUUUAUUUGUGAUGUUUGGAUUGUUGGGGGUUGCUGGCUGUAACAAGUCGGCUCCUCUUAAAUGCAUUAGCAGGACUUCUCAUUGCCUCUGCGCAUGAUGUGAUAAUUAUCACUCAUCAAUAGCACGCAUGAAUAGAGUCCAGCUCUCUAAUCGUCCGCAAGGACAAUUUGACAAUUUGACCUCAAAUCAGGUAGGACUACCCGCUGAACUUAAGCAUAUCAAUAAGCGGAGGA
rnacentral:rRNA from 1 species